rfam:Nomascus leucogenys chromosome 16, whole genome shotgun sequence.
GCCAGGCAUGGUGGUGUGUACCUAUAGUCCCAGCUACUUCGGAGGCUGAAGCAGGAGGAUCACUUGAGUCCAGGAGUUCUGGGCUAUAGUGCAUUGUGCUAAUCAGGUGUCCACACUAAAUUUGGCAUCAAUAUGGUGACCUCCUGGGAGCAGGGGAUCACCAAGUUGCCUAAGAGGGGUGAACUGGUCCAGGUCAGAAAUGGAGCAGGUCAAAAGUCCUGUGCUGCAGCCUGGUCAACACGGUGAAACUCUGUCUCUA